CGCCGUGAUGCUCCAAAAAGGCCUGGAGCGCAUCGGCAACGUCUCUGUCCUGCCCUCGUCUGUGCCCAGCAAGACCGU
rnacentral:SRP_RNA from 1 species